AGGAGGACUGAGAAGGUUGAGCAGCUUCUGCUGUGCUGCUAUAACUGGUUAUAGCCUCCAAGAGUAAUUUACAAUCCACAUUUA